GACGAACGCUGGCGGCGUGCUUAACACAUGCAAGUCGAACGGAAAGGCCCUGCUUUUGUGGGGUGCUCGAGUGGCGAACGGGUGAGUAACACGUGAGUAACCUGCCCUUGACUUUGGGAUAACUUCAGGAAACUGGGGCUAAUACCGGAUAGGAGCUCCUGCUGCAUGGUGGGGGUUGGAAAGUUUCGGCGGUUGGGGAUGGACUCGCGGCUUAUCAGCUUGUUGGUGGGGUAGUGGCUUACCAAGGCUUUGACGGGUAGCCGGCCCGAGAGGGUGACCGGCCACAUUGGGACUGAGAUACGGCCCAGACUCCUACGGGAGGCAGCAGUGGGGAAUAUUGCACAAUGGGCGGAAGCCUGAUGCAGCAACGCCGCGUGCGGGAUGACGGCCUUCGGGUUGUAAACCGCUUUCGCCUGUGACGAAGCGUGAGUGACGGUAAUGGGUAAAGAAACACCGGCGAACUACGU
rnacentral:rRNA from 1 species